CCUACGGGAGACAGCAGUGGGGAAUAUUGGGCAAUGGGCGCAAGCCUGACCCAGCAACGCCGCGUGAAGGAAGAAGGCUCUCGGGUUGUAAACUUCUUUUAUCCGGGACGAAGCAAGUGACGGUACCUGAUGAAUAAGCCACAGCUAACUACGUGACAGCAGCCGCGGUAAUACGUAGGUCGCAAGCGUUAUCCGGAUUUACUGGGUGUAAAGGGCGUGUAGGCGGGAAAGCAAGUCAGAUGUGAAAACCAUGGGCUCAACCUGUGGCCUGCAUUUGAAACUGUUUUUCUUGAGUACUGGAGAGGCAGACGGAAUGCGUAGUGUAGCGGUGAAAUGCGUAGAUAUUAGGAGGAACUCCAGUGGCGAAGGCGGUCUGCUGGACAGCAACUGACGCUGAGGCGCGAAAGCGUGGGGAGCAAACAGGAUUAGAUACCCGAGUAGUC
rnacentral:rRNA from 1 species